CCUACGGGUGGCAGCAGUGGGGAAUAUUGGGCAAUGGAGGCAACUCUGACCCAGCAAUGCCGCGUGAGUGAUGACGGUAAUUUUAUUUUAAAGCUCUUUUCUUUGUAACGAAUAAAUGACUGUACCAAAGGAAUAAGCACCGGCUAACUACGUGCCAGCAGCGGCGGUCAUACGUAGGGGGCAAGCGUUGUUCGGAAUGAAUGGGCGUAAAGGGUGUGUAGGUGGUUUGAUAAGUUAGAUGUGUAAUACCCAGGGCUUAACUCGGGUGCUGCAUCUAAAACGGUUAGACUUGAGUACUGGAGAGGAUAGUGGAAUUCAUAGGGGAGCGGUGGAAUGCGUAGAUAUUAGGAGGAACAUCAGUGGCGAAGGCGACUAUCUGGACAGCAACUGACACUGAGGCACGAAAGCGUGGGGAGCAAACAGGAUUAGAUACCCGAGUAGUC
rnacentral:rRNA from 1 species